UCCCUCCUAGCUCAGUUGGUAAAGAAUCUGUCUGCAAUACAGGAAACCCAGGUUCAAUUCUUGAGUUGGGAA
rnacentral:tRNA from 1 species